rnacentral:rRNA from 1 species
UACGGGGGGAGCAAGCGUUGUUCGGAUUUACUGGGCGUAAAGGGCGCGUAGGCGGCCAGCACAAGUCAGUUGUGAAAUCUCCGAGCUUAACUCGGAAAGGUCAACUGAUACUGUGCGGCUAGAGUGCGGAAGGGGCAACUGGAAUUCUUGGUGUAGCGGUGAAAUGCGCAGAUAUCAGGAGGAACACCGGUGGCGAAGGCGGGUCUCUGGGCCGAUAUCGACGCUGAGGAGCGAAAGCGUGGGGAGCGAACAGG